ACGGCCACCCUCUUCUCCACCGCGCUCUCGCACCACUUCAUCCCGCUCCCCUCCACCGCCAGGCCCGCCGCCGCCUCCUCCUUCGCCUGCGGCCCGCUGCGCGCCGUGUCGGCGCUGCUGGCGCCGCGGAGGCGGCUCCUGCUGCCCGUGGCCGUGGCCGUGUCGUCCGAGUUCGAGACGGAGGACGCCGAGGGGGAGUAGAGCGAGGGCAAGGCCGAGUACUCCGAGGACCUCAAGGUCUUCGUCGGCAACCUGCCUUUCACCGUCGACAGCGCGCAGCUCGCCGGGCUCUUCGAGCAGGCUGGCUCCGUCGAGAUGGUCGAGGUAUAA
rnacentral:rRNA from 1 species